rnacentral:rRNA from 1 species
UACAGAGGUCUCAAGCGUUGUUCGGAUUCAUUGGGCGUAAAGGGUGCGUAGGCGGCGCGGUAAGUCGGGUGUGAAAUCUCGGAGCUUAACUCCGAAACUGCAUUCGAUACUGCCGUGCUUGAGGACUGGAGAGGAGACUGGAAUUUACGGCGUAGCGGUGAAAUGCGUAGAUAUCGUAAGGAAGACCAGUGGCGAAGGCGGGUCUCUGGGCAGUAACUGACGCUGGAGGAGCGAAAGCGUGGGGAGCGAACAGG